rnacentral:rRNA from 1 species
CGGACGGGUGAGUAACGCGUGAGAAUCUGCCCUCAGGAGGGGGAUAACGGCUGGAAACCGCCGUUAAUACUCCAUAUGCCGAGAGGUGAAACCAAUUUCCCGUGAGGAUGAGCUCGUGUCUGAUUAGCUAGUUGGUGGGGUAAGAGCCUACCAAGGCUUCGAUCAGUAGCCGCUCUGAGAGGAUGAUCAGCCACACUGUGCCUGAGACACGGCCCAGACUCGUACGGGAGGCAGCAGUGGGGAAUUUUCCGCAAUGGGCGAAAGCCUGACGGAGCAACGCCGCGUGAGGGAUGAAGGCCUCUGGGCAGUAAACCUCUUUUAUCAAGGAAGAAGAUCUGACGGUACUUGAGGAAUAAGCCACGGCUAAUUCCGUGCCAGCAGCCGCGGUAAUACGGGAGUGGCAAGCGUUAUCCGGAAUUAUUGGGCGUAAAGCGUCCGCAGGCGGCCUCGUAAGUCUGUCGUUAAAGCGUGGAGCUUAACUCCAUUUCAGCGAUGGAAACUGCGAGGCUUGAGUGUGGUAGGGGCAGAGGGAAUUCCCGGUGUAGCGGUGAAAUGCGUAGAUAUCGGGAAGAACACCAGUGGCGAAGGCGCUUUGCUGGGCCAUAACUGACGCUCAUGGACGAAAGCCAGGGGAGCGAAUGGGAUUAGAUACCCCAGUAGUC